rnacentral:rRNA from 1 species
UACGAAGGGGGCUAGCGUUGCUCGGAAUUACUGGGCGUAAAGGGCUCGUAGGCGGCCAACUAAGUCAGACGUGAAAUCCCUCGGCUUAACCGGGGAACUGCGUCUGAUACUGGAUGGCUUGAAUCCGGGAGAGGGAUGCGGAAUUCCAGGUGUAGCGGUGAAAUGCGUAGAUAUCUGGAGGAACACCGGUGGCGAAGGCGGCAUCCUGGACCGGUAUUGACGCUGAGGCGCGAAAGCCAGGGGAGCAAACGGG